AUUUGUCCCCGCGGGAGCUCGGAGCACCGGGCUGAGAGGGCGCUGAUCUCCUCGUACGGCCGCACGCGCGGCCGGAGGACGAACGCUGCGCCGACCGCUGAACCUGUUACCGGGUAAUGCCGGCGUAGGGAGUAGGUCUCAUGACCAC
rnacentral:ncRNA from 1 species